AUUGAACGCUGGCGGCAGGCCUAACACAUGCAAGUCGAGCGGAUGAGGGGUGCUUGCACCCUGAUUCAGCGGCGGACGGGUGAGUAAUGCCUAGGAAUCUGCCCGAUAGUGGGGGACAACGUUCCGAAAGGAACGCUAAUACCGCAUACGUCCUACGGGAGAAAGUGGGGGCUCUUCGGACCUCACGCUAUCGGAUGAGCCUAGGUCGAAUUAGCUAGUUGGUGGGGUAAAGGCUCACCAAGGCGACGAUCCGUAACUGGUCUGAGAGGAUGAUCAGUCACACUGGAACUGAGACACGGUCCAGACUCCUACGGGAGGCAGCAGUGGGGAAUAUUGGACAAUGGGCGAAAGCCUGAUCCAGCCAUGCCGCGUGUGUGAAGAAGGUCUUCGGAUUGUAAAGCACUUUAAGUCGGGAGGAAGGGCCGCAGGUUAAUACCUUGCAGCCUUGACGUUACCGACAGAAUAAGCACCGGCUAACUUCGUGCCAGCCGCCGCGGUAAAAC
rnacentral:rRNA from 1 species